AGUCGAACGAUGAUGCCCAGCUUGCUGGGCGGAUUAGUGGCGAACGGGUGAGUAAUACGUGAGUAACCUGCCCUUGACUCUGGGAUAAGCCUGGGAAACUGGGUCUAAUACUGGAUACUACCUCUUGCCGCAUGGUGGGUGGUGGAAAGGGUUUUACUGGUUUUGGAUGGGCUCACGGCCUAUCAGCUUGUUGGUGGGGUAAUGGCUCACCAAGGCGACGACGGGUAGCCGGCCUGAGAGGGUGACCGGCCACACUGGGACUGAGACACGGCCCAGACUCCUACGGGAGGCAGCAGUGGGGAAUAUUGCACAAUGGGCGGAAGCCUGAUGCAGCGACGCCGCGUGAGGGAUGACGGCCUUCGGGUUGUAAACCUCUUUCAGUAGGGAAGAAGCGAGAGUGACGGUACCUGCAGAAGAAGCGCCGGCUAACUACGUGCCAGCAGCCGCGGUAAUACGUAGGGCGCAAGCGUUGUCCGGAAUUAUUGGGCGUAAAGAGCUCGUAGGCGGUUUGUCGCGUCUGCUGUGAAAGCCCGGGGCUCAACCCCGGGUCUGCAGUGGGUACGGGCAGACUAGAGUGCAGUAGGGGAGACUGGAAUUCCUGGUGUAGCGGUGAAAUGCGCAGAUAUCAGGAGGAACACCGAUGGCGAAGGCAGGUCUCUGGGCUGUUACUGACGCUGAGGAGCGAAAGCAUGGGGAGCGAACAGGAUUAGAUACCCUGGUAGUCCAUGCCGUAAACGUUGGGCACUAGGUGUGGGGGACAUUCCACGUUUUCCGCGCCGUAGCUAACGCAUUAAGUGCCCCGCCUGGGGAGUACGGCCGCAAGGCUAAAACUCAAAGGAAUUGACGGGGGCCCGCACAAGCGGCGGAGCAUGCGGAUUAAUUCGAUGCAACGCGAAGAACCUUACCAAGGCUUGACAUUCACCGGACCGCCCCAGAGAUGGGGUUUCCCUUCGGGGCUGGUGGACAGGUGGUGCAUGGUUGUCGUCAGCUCGUGUCGUGAGAUGUUGGGUUAAGUCCCGCAACGAGCGCAACCCUCGUUCUAUGUUGCCAGCACGUGAUGGUGGGGACUCAUAGGAGACUGCCGGGGUCAACUCGGAGGAAGGUGGGGAUGACGUCAAAUCAUCAUGCCCCUUAUGUCUUGGGCUUCACGCAUGCUACAAUGGCCGGUACAAAGGGUUGCGAUACUGUGAGGUGGAGCUAAUCCCAAAAAGCCGGUCUCAGUUCGGAUUGAGGUCUGCAACUCGACCUCAUGAAGUCGGAGUCGCUAGUAAUCGCAGAUCAGCAACGCUGCGGUGAAUACGUUCCCGGGCCUUGUACACACCGCCCGUCAAGUCACGAAAGUUGGUAACACCCGAAGCCGGUGGCCUAACCCCUUGUGGGAGGGAGCCGUUGAA
rnacentral:rRNA from 1 species